UGUAAAAUAAGCUAAGCUAAGCUAUUGGGCUCAUGCCCCAAAAAUAAACAUAACGUUUUUUUACAA
rnacentral:tRNA from 1 species